UGAGGGAAUAUUUGGGGUCAAUGGGGCGAGAGCCUGAACCAGCCAAGUCGCGUGAGGGAAGAAGGUCCUACGGAUUGUAAACCUCUUUUGCCGGGGAGCAAAGGGGCCAUUUAUGGCAGGAUGAGCGUACCCGGAGAAAAAGCAUCGGCUAACUCCGUGCCAGCAGCCGCGGUAAUACGGAAGGUCCGGGCGUUAUCCGGAUUUAUUGGGUUUAAAGGGAGCGUAGGCCGUCUUAUAAGCGUGUUGUGAAAUGUCGGGGCUCAACCUGGGCAUUGCAGCGCGAACUGUGAGACUUGAGUGCGCAGGAAGUAGGCGGAAUUCGUCGUGUAGCGGUGAAAUGCUUAGAUAUGACGAAGAACUCCGAUUGCGAAGGCAGCCUGCUGUAGCGCAACUGACGCUGAAGCUCGAAAGCGUGGGUAUCGAACAGGAUUAGAUACCCUGGUAGU
rnacentral:rRNA from 1 species